AACGGCUCCUUGACGAGGGCUCCUUCGUGGCGUCCUACAAGUUCGCGCUACUGCUCGCGCUGGCCGACCUGUCCAUCGAACACGGCAGCGAUUCGGGCGCGCCGCUGUCCGUCGAUACCACUGCGAUCGCCGAGAAGUUCAUCCAUUAUUACUGGCCUCAGGUGCUGCCAUACCCGUCGCCCGUUAACCCGAGGGUGCUCAAGCAGAACACCGACAAGCAGGCCGCCAUCGUGAACGCCGUGCUCGCCGCGCGUAUGGCGUACGGCGACUCCUUGGCGGGCGCAAUGAGAGACGUGACCGCAUGGAGGCGGCUGGUAGCCAAGAUCGCCAGGGUAGUCGUGGUCAUGCCCCUGUGGAAGCUCCAGACUGUCGGCGGCGAGCGACUCGACUUCCUGUACGGUCAGACCGGCGACGCGCGGGCGGUGGAACUCCGCCCCGGCGUCGCAUUCUGCUUCCGCAAGUUUCACGCGCUUAUCACCGACAUCGUGCGCGGUGCAUGGCUGCGGUACGUACGCCAACAGAACCUCGAUGUGGUUGGCGAGACAGCAGACCUGAACGAGUUCUUGUUCGGCAGCGAGCGCAACAGCCUCGCAGCCGUGCGGCCGGUGCUCCUGGAUAUCCAGCGGGGCCGGUGCUUCUACUGCGAGCGCGACAUCCUGCGGGGCUUGCCCACGUGGAUCACUUCAUCGCGUGGUCCCGUUACCCGACCGACUUGGGCCACAACUUCGUGCUCGCCGAUGAACACUGUAACGGCAAGAAGCGAGAUCGGCUCCCCGCUGUCGAGCAUCUGGCGCGCUGGACGGAGCGGAACCGGGAGUACGGCGCGCAGAUCGCGACCGAACUGACCAUGCACGGAGUCGUAACGGAACUGGCCGCGUCGAACCAGGUGACGCAGUGGGCAUACGGGCAGGCAGAAGCCGCGAGCGCGCUCACUUGGGUUCGCGGCGAUGAGAUGGUGCCGCUGGCGGCGGGGUGGCGGGACUCCAUCUAGUAGGACACACGGCAGGGCCCGGACAGACAAAACCAACUGCAUGACCUCGGGCGGGAAGUUCAGAACGGCACUUCGUCAAUAGUGGUAUCCACGUCGAUAGCGGAGU
rnacentral:misc_RNA from 1 species